rnacentral:rRNA from 1 species
CCUACGGGAGGCAGCAGUCGAGAAUAUUGGUCAAUGGGGGAAACCCUGAACCAGCGACAUCGCGUGCUCGAAGAAGUCCUUCGGGAUGUAAAGAGCUUUUAUAGAGGGAGAAUCCGCCGCAAGGCGGAUGACGGUACUCUAAGAAUAAGGGCUGCAACUACGUG